rnacentral:rRNA from 1 species
CCCUAGCUGGUCUGAGAGGAUGACCAGCCACACUGGAACUGAGACACGGUCCAGACUCCUACGGGAGGCAGCAGUGGGGAAUAUUGCACAAUGGGCGCAAGCCUGAUGCAGCCAUGCCGCGUGUAUGAAGAAGGCCUUCGGGUUGUAAAGUACUUUCAGCGGGGAGGAAGGGAGUAAAGUUAAUACCUUUGCUCAUUGACGUUACCCGCAGAAGAAGCACCGGCUAACUCCGUGCCAGCAGCCGCGGUAAUACGGAGGGUGCAAGCGUUAAUCGGAAUUACUGGGCGUAAAGCGCACGCAGGCGGUUUGUUAAGUCAGAUGUGAAAUCCCCGGGCUCAACCUGGGAACUGCAUCUGAUACUGGCAAGCUUGAGUCUCGUAGAGGGGGGUAGAAUUCCAGGUGUAGCGGUGAAAUGCGUAGAGAUCUGGAGGAAUACCGGUGGCGAAGGCGGCCCCCUGGACGAAGACUGACGCUCAGGUGCGAAAGCGUGGGGAGCAAACAGGAUUAGAUACACUGGUAGUCCACGCCGUAAACGAUGUCGACUUGGAGGUUGUGCCCU